CACUGGGAAAGAUCAAGUAACUGCUUGAAGGGUUUGUGUCCUAACACUUGACAGCAAGUUAUUUUUGAGAUAUGUCCAUCAACAGUGCAUGGAAGUAGACGCAAGACAGGUAUACUGAGUGACGAAGAGAAGAUUUUCAACCAACCAACCAACCAACCAACCAACCAACCAACCAACCUACUUACCUACCUUCAAGUUUCAGAAGAGCCAAAUUGGCCUACUCUAAAAAGGAGAACUGGGUGUUUUUUUCAAAGCAGCUACAAGGUGCCUUUAAAUGCAACCCUCCCCAAACCACCAAAUGACUUCUUGGCAAGGGUGUAUCAACAGUUUCAUGAGAGAUGGGCUGUGCUGUGAUGCCGCGGUUAUCUCUGUAGCACAGCAGCAGGUCUUACGUGCCCACCAAGGUGGCAUCUUGGCCAGAAUAACCAAACCAGAAAUCCAAGCUCUCCUCGGUAGGAACAGAAACAUACUCCUCACUCAGGGUUUGACUCUGGGUGGCCACAAAUGUCUGGUCAUACGAGACAAUUUGUAUACCGACGCCCAACAGCAUACAAUGGACCUCCGAACCAAGGUCUACCACGAGGAUAAGAAGGACAACUGCACCCAUGCCAUCGCUGUGGUCCUGGUUAAUCCGAUUUGCCUAAUCCUCAUUGGUAUGCAGGGAAUUCAAGGAGGGACCCUGAAUCUGAAAGCUUUCCAGACAGCGAAGUACAUCGAAGAGCAUUUACGGCAAUAAAUAUGCAACAAGCUUCCAAUAUCAUGUCGGUUACCGGCUGCUUUUAUCAGUCCAGUUUGCAAAGGAUGACAUUUUUCUUUCCAUCCUGUUGAAGAGCAUGCAAAAGAGAGGUGGAUCCUGGUAACUUCUAAGGAAGUCUAAGAAAGUGGCUGAUAUUUCAGACCCGAUGAUCUUAAACUUCAUCUUUGAAUGAGCACUUCAGAAUAAACUUCCAUCUACAGCUCCUGCAGGCAGGCGGUAGCAGCUCUCUGGAAGGUCCUACUCAUGACUGGUUCACAUUUAUGAGUCUUUCCAAGAAUGUCUUGAAUCUGCUCGCCUGUCACCCACAGCAAUCCUGUUCCCUAGACGCCACCCUGGAUUUACUCGACAGAUCUUCUAGUCCUACCCAUAUACAGUACACGAACGCUUUUCAAAUCCAUUCCUGACGGCUUCAAUUUCUAUUUCUUCUGAUGCCAGAUGUUUGAUUAGUAGGCUUCCUGAAAACAUUUAUAAAGAGAUUUCCCCCAAAAAUAUAGUUAUUUUGCAGCCUAUAA